UCCACGCCGUAAACGAUGUCUACUAGAAGCUCGGAACCUCGGUUCUGUUUUCCAAAGCUAACGCAUUAAGUAGACCGCCUGGGGAGUACGGCCGCAAGGUUAAAACUCAAAUGAAUUGACGGGGGCCCGCACAAGCGGUGGAGCAUGUGGUUUAAUUCGAUGCAACGCGAAGAACCUUACCUACACUUGACAUACAGAGAACUUACCAGAGAUGGUUUGGUGCCUUCGGGAACUCUGAUACAGGUGCUGCAUGGCUGUCGUCAGCUCGUGUUGUG
rnacentral:rRNA from 1 species